rnacentral:rRNA from 1 species
UACGUAGGGGGCAAGCGUUAUCCGGAUUUACUGGGUGUAAAGGGAGCGUAGACGGCAUGGCAAGCCAGAUGUGAAAUACCGGGGCUCAACCCCGGGACUGCAUUUGGAACUGUUAAGCUGGAGUGCCGGAGAGGCAGGCGGAAUUCCUAGUGUAGCGGUGAAAUGCGUAGAUAUUAGGAGGAACACCAGUGGCGAAGGCGGCCUGCUGGACGAUAACUGACGUUGAGGCUCGAAAGCGUGGGGAGCAAACAGG